rnacentral:rRNA from 1 species
GAUGAACGCUGGCGGCGUGCUUAACACAUGCAAGUCGAGCGGUGAGGCGCGUUGCUUUUUGCUGGGUGGGGAUGGGCGGCGGGGGGGGGAGUAACACGAGAGUAACCUUCUCCCUCUUUCUGGAUAACGGCAAGAAGGUGUGGCUAAUACAGGAUAUUCUGAGUCUGUUGCAUGAUGGGUCUGAGACGGAUAUUGUGUCGGUUGUGGAUGGGCUCGCGCCUUAUCAGCUUGUUGGUGAGGUGAUGGCCUACCAAGGCGGUGACGAGUAGCCGGCCUGAGAGGGUCGACGACCAUAGUGGGGAUGAGCGGCCGAGCAGACUCCGAGGGGAGGCAGCAGGGAGUCAUACGGCAUAGUGGGAGGCAGGCUGAAGCAGCGACGCGGCGGGAGGGAUGGUGGCCGUCGGGUUGUGAACCGCUUUCGGGAGUGAAGAAGGCCUGCCUCGUGUGUGGGUGGGUUGACGGUAGCUGGAGAAGAAGCGCCGGCUAACUACGUG